GAUUAACGCUGGCGGCGUGCAUAACACAUGCAAGUCGAACGAUGAAACUUAAAUGAUUUCUUCGGAAUGAACUUAAGUGGAUUAGUGGCGGACGGGUGAGUAACGCGUGAGUAACCUGCCUUACACAAGGGGAUAGCCGUUGGAAACGACGAAUAAUACCCUAUGAUGUUUCUAUCUCGCAUGAGAUAUUAACCAAAGUGUUAGCGGUGUAAGAUGGACUUGCGUCUGAUUAGCUAGUUGGUGAGAAAAAAGCCCACCAAGGCAACGAUCAGUAGCCGGCUUGAGAGAGUGUACGGCGACAUUGGGACUGAGACACGGCCCAGACUCCUACGGGAGGCAGCAGUGGGGAAUUUUGCACAAUGGGGGAAACCCUGAUGCAGCGACGCCGCGUGAUUUAGAAGGCCUUCGGGUUGUAAAAAUCUUUUGUAUAGGAAGAAAAUGACAGUACUAUACGAAUAAGGUCCGGCUAAUUACGUG
rnacentral:rRNA from 1 species